UACGGGGGGAGCAAGCGUUGUUCGGAUUACUGGGCGUAAAGGGCGCGUAGGCGGUCAGCACAAGUCAGUUGUGAAAUCUCCGGGCUUAACUCGGAAAGGUCAACUGAUACUGUGCGACUAGAGUGCGGAAGGGGCAACUGGAAUUCUUGGUGUAGCGGUGAAAUGCGUAGAUAUCAAGAGGAACACCUGCGGCGAAGGCGGGUUGCUGGGCCGACACUGACGCUGAGGCGCGAAAGCCAGGGGAGCGAACGGG
rnacentral:rRNA from 1 species